AUUGAACGCUGGCGGCAGGCCUAACACAUGCAAGUCGAGCGAGCGGCGGACGGGUGAGUAAUGUAUGGGGACUGCCCGAUAGAGGGGGAUAACUACUGGAAACGGUGGCUAAUACCGCAUACUAUCGGAUAACCCAUAGGGGAGUAGCUAGUAGGUGGGGUAAAGGCUCACCUAGGCGACGAUCUCUAGCUGGUUUGAGAGGAUGUUAAGCAACAUUGGGACUGGGACACAGCCCAGACUCCUACGGAGGCAGCAGUGGGUAAUAUUGCACAAUGGGCGCAAGCCUGAUGCCGCCAUGCCGCGUGUAUGAAGAAGGCCUUAGGGUUGUAAAGUACUAUCAGCGGGGAGGCGUUACCCGCAGAAGGAGCACCGGCUAACUCCGUGCCAGCAGCCGCGGUAAUAC
rnacentral:rRNA from 1 species